rnacentral:rRNA from 1 species
CCUACGGGAGGCAGCAGUAAGGAAUAUUGGUCAAUGGACGCAAGUCUGAACCAGCCAUGCCGCGUGCAGGAUGAAGGCCCUCUGGGUUGUAAACUGCUUUUAUAGGGGACGAAAAAGGGACUUUCUAGUUCAACUGACGGUACCCUAGGAAUAAGCACCGGCUAACUCCGUGCCAGCAGCCGCGGUAAUACGGAGGGUGCAAGCGUUAUCCGGAUUUACUGGGUUUAAAGGGUGCGUAGGUGGGUCGGUAAGUCAGCGGUGAAAUCUUCAAGCUUAACUUGGAAACUGCCAUUGAUACUAUCGAUCUUGAAUCAUCUGGAGGUAAGCGGAAUAUGUCAUGUAGCGGUGAAAUGCUUAGAUAUGACAUAGAACACCAAUUGCGAAGGCAGCUUACUACGGAUGUAUUGACACUGAGGCACGAAAGCGUGGGGAUCAAACAGGAUUAGAUACCCUGGUAGUCCACGCCCUAAACCGAUGGAUACUCGACAUACGUGAUAUACUAUGUGUGUCUGAGCGAAAGCAUUAAGUAUCCCACCUGGAAGUACGAUCGCAGAUUGAAACUCAAAGGAAAUUGACGGCUGAGACGAGCGAGGACGACGACGAGGGAGGAGG